rnacentral:misc_RNA from 1 species
GUAGGAUUGUUUACAUCAAAAUCAAAGUGAUAGGAUACAAUUUACCUUAUAUGUCCAUUCCUGUCGCCGCUGACCUAUAAUGCAUGUGUCCAUUUCUCUUAAGCAAAAAAAAGAAUGUGAAUAAGACCAACACAUACUAGCUAAUUCAAAUGACUUCUAAGGUUUAAGUAGAAUAGAAAACAUUCUAGCUCCCAGCUCAUAUCCAUGUCACCAUGCAAGCUCCAACACAUUUUCCAUCUACAAAGGUGACAAAUCUACAAGUGCACAAGAUUUACAAGUGCAAAACUAACAUACCAUCUACUUGGAAACAUUACAAAACCAAAUAUGUAGAGAUUGAAGAUCUUGCCCACCACAGGUAUACAAAAGGUUCUUCCUAAAAAACCAUGUUAUUUAAUUUCAGGCAUAUCUACCUCUCCCAUGCAUCUCCUAACUAAGAGAAAACUUUAGACACUUUUGACCGAGAUUUCUGGCUUUCCAAUCUAGCUUCAAGUAGUUUUGCCUUCGAAGUAUUCUCCUUUACGCCCAUAGGUAAUUUCAAAGAAGAAUCAGAUUUAUCAAAUUCUGGACAUGCCAAUUUUGACAUCCAAUGCUGCACUGGACUUGUAUGUCCUGCAAUCACUGGCUGAAUACAAGAAUCUUCUUUAAAAUCACCUUCAGGAUGAAUUUUAUCACCUUCAGAUGACAAUGAACGAUUUCGAAUCAAGUUAUCCAGCACAUCAUUUGAGUUCAAUUGCGCAUACACAAUACGGCCCUUACUAUUAUCCCUUGAUCCAGCCAUUCUCUUCAUAGAAUCCAAAUUCAUUAUUUCCUCAAGAAGGCUUUCUGCAGAAUUAUUACCUCGGCAUUUGGAGCUGCCUGUGUUUUGUUUUUUACCUGUACUCUUGUCUAGUUCAAAACAAGCUGAAUCACUAUCAAUAGAAUCUUCUUCAUCAGCAGCAUGUCGAGGUGCACUUACAGCCUCAUUUAGUGGAAAGGACUCCCGCCGUGAGCAAUUGUUUAUUGCCUCAUUAACAAAUCUACCAUCUUUCUUCGAUUCAUUGGAGUGUCUAGCUUGGAGAAAGGUUUCUAUAUCUAGACUUAACUUGUCAACAAUUGUAUUCUUUUCAGUAAGAUCAUUUUCAGCUUCUGCUAGUUUCAUUUCCAUCCUCUCAUCAAGCCAUGCUUCUGAAAUAUGAAGAACCAAGCAGUCAGUACCAACAAGAUCCAUCUCAGAUUUGUGCCUUAAGGACUGCACCUCUUGUUCAUAAUCUCUUAUUCCCUUGGCAAACUCAUCACAUAAGUUUUCCAAUAAAAUCCGUGCUUUCCUCUCCCUCUCAAGUUCUUUCAAAGCAUUAGAGAAAGCAGAUUUCACUUCAGAAAACUCACGAGCAAGCUUCCGGUGCAAGCUCUCUGAGUGCUUCCUUAACUUCCUCUCAUCUUCUAGCUCUUCUUGUGCUGACUUAAUGACAGCUUUGAUUCUAUAAUGCUCUUUAUUUUUCCUGACAACUUUAUCCUCUGUAACUUGCUCCAUUAAGUCAUCUAUUUCCUGCCUGUUAGUUUGUUUCUCUUUGAGCAACUCCUUUAUUUGUGAACGAGAAUGAUCCAGCUCCAUUUUUAAAGAUUUUAACAAUGACAAAUUGCACGCUUGCUGUUCUUCAAGACUCCAAAUCCGGUUGAUUACCGUGAGUAAUUUUGUUGAUGUCUUAAGGCCAUAACUUGACUCAUCCAUCCUGCACUUAAAAUCCAAGAAACUGGAAGACUGCAUACCCAAAGGUUUAUAAGGCGCUACCUCCAUUGAGCUAGCACAACUUGCAGAAGAUAGGGACCGUAUAGCACGACUGUUUCUAUCAGCUGAUACAUGGUGUUGCAACAAUGAUUGUGCAACAUGUCUCCUUGAGGGACUUGCAAUUGCUGGCUGAUCAAGUAAGUUAUUAGGAGGGUCGACCAAAUGAGUGCGGAGCUCAAAAGCCUUGUUUGUCUUGUGGUGGCCACGGCGACCUCGUCUAGAGCCAAUAUUUUUGCUCAUUUUGGAAAGUGAAAGUUGGAGCUCCGGCUGAAUCUCCCAAAGGUUGGCACAUAGCUUUCUAGCAGAGACGGUAGUGGUGGUACUGAGGUAUUCUUGAACAGGGUUGCUGCCGUUAUUACCAUCCAGAGAAGAGAACUCAAGCCUCCAAGUGGGCGAUGGAGUAGAUGGGCCUCCUCUUUUCCCUACCAGUAUAAUCCCGCGUUUGAACUUUUUUCUAGUUCUACCCUCCAAUUCUUGUUGCUUUUUGCCUUUCCCUUCUCUCUCCACUCCUUUUUCCGUUCUUUCCAUCUUUCUUAGUCUCUGUCUCUUCAAAUUUCAAACAGUGGGUUCUUCUCUGUUUCGCUCAUUUCGCUCUUUUUGUUUCCAAAGUGCCCUAUCCCUUCAAAAUGU